rnacentral:rRNA from 1 species
GCCAGACUCCUACGGGAGGCAGCAGUGGGGGAUAUUGCACAAUGGGGGGAACCCUGAUGCAGCGACGCCGCGUGGGUGAAGGAGCGUUUCGGCGCGUAAAGCCCUAUCGGCAGGGAAGAAGGAGGACGGUACCUGACUAAGAAGCCCCGGCUAACUACGUGCCAGCAGCCGCGGUAAUACGUAGGGGGCAAGCGUUAUCCGGAUUUACUGGGUGUAAAGGGGGCGCAGACGGCAGCGCAAGCCAGGAGUGAAAGCCCGGGGCCCAACCCCGGGACUGCUCUUGGAACUGCGCGGCUGGAGUGCAGGAGGGGCAGGCGGAAUUCCUGGUGUAGCGGUGAAAUGCGUAGAUAUUAGGAGGAACACCAGUGGCGAAGGCGGCUUACUGGACUGUAACUGACGUUGAGGCUCGAAAGCGUGGGGAGCAAACAGGAUUAGAUACCCGCGUA